AUUGCUUUGGUGUAAAGAGCACGUAAGUUUUUGGUGUUUAAGGUAAUAAGCGGUC
rnacentral:tRNA from 1 species